rnacentral:rRNA from 1 species
CCGGAUUUAUUGGGUUUAAAGGGUGCGUAGGCGGCCUUGUAAGUCAGCGGUGAAAUUUUGCGGCUUAACUGUAAAAGCGCCGUUGAUACUGUGAGGCUAGGAUUUGGUUGCUGUGGGCGGAAUGUGUGGUGUAGCGGUGAAAUGCUUAGAGAUCACACAGAAUAUCGAUUGCGAAGGCAGCUCACAAAGCCAAGAUUGACGCUGAGGCACGAAAGUGUGGGGAUCAAACAGGAUUAGAUACCCUGGUAGUCCACACUGUAAACGAUGAUAACUCGCUGUCGGCGAUAGACCGUCGGUGGCCAAGCGAAAGCGAUAAGUUAUCCACCUGGGGAGUACGACCGCAAGGUUGAAACUCAAAGGAAUUGACGGGGGCCCGCACAAGCGGAGGAACAUGUGGUUUAAUUCGAUGAUACGCGAGGAACCUUACCCGGGCUCGAACGGUGCAUGAAUGUUCAAGAGAUUGGACAGUCCUUCGGGACAUGUAUCGAGGUGCUGCAUGGUUGUCGUCAGCUCGUGCCGUGAGGUGUCGGCUUAAGUGCCAUAACGAGCGCAAUCCUUGUCAUUAGUUACCAUCAGGUUAAGCUGGGGACUCUAGUGAGACUGCCACCGUAAGGUGUGAGGAAGGGGGGGAUGACGUCAAAUCAGCACGGCCCUUAUGUCCGGGGCGACACACGUGUUACAAUGGGAGGUACAGAGAGCAGCCAGUUAGUGAUAACGCGCCAAUCUCAAAAACCUUUCUCAGCUCGGGAUUGGAGUCUGCAACUCGACUCCAUGAAGUUUGAUGCGCUAGUAAUCGUCGCAUCAAC